UACCCGCUGAAUUUAAGCAUAUAAUUAAGCGGAGGAAAAGAAACCAACUCGGAUUCCCCUAGUAACGGCGAGUGAAGCGGGAAGAGCUCAUGUUGUAAAUCUGGAUGAGGGUUCCUCGUCCCGAAUUGUAGUCUAGAGAUGCGUGCUCAGCUACUCUCCAGGGCUAAGUCUGUUUGUGAAAGACAGUAUCAUGGACGGUGAUAAUCCGGUUCUUGCCUUGGAUGUUGUAGCGUUUUGAGCCGUCCUCAACGAGUCGAGUUGCUUGGGAUUGCAGCUCUAAGUGGGUGGUAAAUUCCAUCUAAAGCUAAAUAUUGGUGGGAGACCGAUAGCGAACAAGUACCGUGAGGGAAAGAUGAAAAGAACUUUGAAAAGAGAGUUAAAUAGUACCUGAAACUGCUGAAAGGGAAGCGAAUGAAGUCAGUGUUGCUCUUGGUGCUCUGCUUCCGUCCCUGCGGGGAUUGUGCAUCGAGGACUUUGAGCUUGUCAGGAUGAGUUCUCUGCCGCGGGAUAUGUUUUGUGAGCUGGACGCUUCGGCCGAACUCGCAUUCUCUGUCGUGGCUUGGACUGAGGUUCCAUCUUGCCGUUGCCUGCUCGUUGCUCUCUUGUUGCUGUCUCUGUCCUACUGCUUGCAGUGUUCAGUUGCAGUUGCUGGACUGUGCGGGUUAUGCAUGCAAGGUCAGGAUCCUGACGAAAUGGCUUUAUUUACCCCGUCUUGAAACACGGACCAAGGAGUCUAACAUACGUGCGAGUACUUUGGUGGCAAACCAAUGUGCGCAAUGAAAGUAAAGGCUGGCUUCCGUCAGCUCAGGUGGGAUCCUUAUGGAGCACCAUCGACCGACCAUUGUCCCUUCGGGGUAAAGGUUUGAGUGUGAGCAUUUAUGUUGGGACCCGAAAGAUGGUGAACUAUGCCUGAAUAGGGCGAAGCCAGGGGAAACUCUGGUGGAGGCUCGUAGCGAUUCUGACGUGCAAAUCGAUCGUCAAAUUUGGGUAUAGGGGCGAAAGACUAAUCGAACCAUCUAGUAGCUGGUUCCCUCCGAAAUUUCCCUCAGGAUAGCUGCAACCGGUUAAGAGUUUUAUCAGGUAAAGCGAAUGAUUAGAGGCCUCGGGAACGGAAUGUUCUCGACCUAUUCUCAAACUUUAAAUGGGUAAGAACCCGGGGUUGCUUAAUUGAACCCUGCGGUCGAAUCUCGGUUGCUAGUGGGCCAGUCCGGGUAAGCUGGACUGGCGAUGCGGGAUGAUCCGAACGCUUAGUUAAAGUGCCUAACUGCUCGCUCACCUAGAUCCCACAAAAGGUGUUGGUUCAUUUAGACAGCAGGACGGUGGCCAUGGAAGUCGGAACCCGCUAAGGAGUGUGUAACAACUCACCUGCCGAAUGAACUAGCCCUGAAAAUGGAUGGCGCUAAAGCGUGCGACUUAUACUAAGCCAUCAGUGCGAGAUGUAUGCACUGAUGAGUAGGAGGGCGUGUUGCUCGUGCAGAAGCCUUGGGCGUGAGCCCGGGUGAAACGUGCAAUAGUGCAGAUCUUGGUGGUAGUAG
rnacentral:rRNA from 1 species